rnacentral:rRNA from 1 species
UACGUAGGUGGCAAGCGUUGUCCGGAUUUACUGGGCGUAAAGAGCGCGCAGGCGGUCGAGUAAGUCGAAUGUGAAAGCCCCCGGCUUAACUGGGGAGGGUCAUUCGAUACUGUUCGACUUGAAGGCAGGAGAGGGCAGCAGAAUUCCCGGUGUAGUGGUGAAAUGCGCAGAUAUCAGGAGGAACACCGGUGGCGAAGGCGGGUCUCUGGGCCGAUACUGACGCUGAGGAGCGAAAGCGUGGGGAGCGAACAGG